rnacentral:tRNA from 1 species
GGCGUUGUUCAAUGGUAGAACUUCAGCCUUCCAAGCUGACUAUGCGGGUUCGAUUCCCGUCGCU